CUGCUCAAACUCUGGGCUAAGUUCUGUGAUACACUCUGACUGUGAAUGGCUAUGCUAGUCAGUGCAUAACAGAACUUUGUCCCGG
rnacentral:pre_miRNA from 1 species